rnacentral:rRNA from 1 species
AAAGAGUGCGUAACAGCUCACUGGUCUAGUGGUUCCGCGCCGACAAUGUAGCGGGGCUCAAGCACGCCACCGAAGACGCGGAUGCGGCCGUAUGGCCGUGUGGUAGGAGAGCGUCCCACACCGGGGCGAAGCGGCGGGGGAACCCGGCCGUGGACUGUGUGGGAGUGAGAAUGCAGACAUGAGUAGCGAGAGCAGGGUGAGGAUCCCUGCCGCUGGAAGACCAAGGGUUCCAGGGCCACGUUCGUCGUCCCUGGGUGAGUCGGGUCCUAAGGCGAGGCCGACAGGCGUAGUCGAAUGGAUGAACGGGUCGAUAUUCCCGUACCGGCUUUCGGACCGACCAACAGCCCGUGUGAACAAGGGCCAUCCGAUACGGUUGAUGGGGGCUUCGGCCUCCUGAUUCCGUUGCUGUUUGGCCUGGACGCGCAUGGGUUGAGCGUUUCAGGAGUGACGCGGACGGGUAGCCGGCCGGGGAGGUGGUUUUCCCUGGUCAAGCGUGUGGCCCCGCCCCCAGGCAAAUCCGGGGGCUUCAUGGGGUGAGGCGUGAUGAUGGGCGCUUUCAUGGCGUGAUAUCCGGUGAUCCCGUCGGCCGAGAAAAGCUUCGGCGCGAGGUCCGUUGCCGCCCGUACCCCAAACCGACACAGGUGGUCUGGUAGAGUAUACCGAAGCGAUCGAGCGAAUCCUGGUCAAGGAACUCGGCAAAUUGCUCCCGUGCCUUCGGCAUAAGGGAGACCCCCGGCCGUGCCGGCCCCUUGCGGGUCGUGGGCGGCUGGGGGUGGCACAGGCCAGGGGGUAGCGACUGUUUACCAAAAACACAGGUGCAUGCCAAGACGCAAGUCGCCGUAUAUGCACUGACGCCUGCCCGGUGCCGGAAGGUUAAGAGGAUCCAUCAGCGUCCCCUCGCGGGAUGCGAAGUGGUGAAUUCAAGCCCCGGUAAACGGCGGUGGUAACUAUAACCAUCCUAAGGUAGCGAAAUUCCUUGUCGGGUAAGUUCCGACCUGCACGAAUGGCGUAACGACUUCCCCGCUGUCUCGACCAGGAGCUCGGCGAAAUUGCAGUACGAGUAAAGAUGCUCGUUAAGCGCAGAAGGACGAAAAGACCCCGGGACCUUUACUAUACCUUGGUAUUGGCAUCAGGUGCGGAUUGUGUAGCAUAGGCGGGAGGCUUCGAAGCCGCGGCGCCAGCCGUGGUGGAGCCGGCCAGUGAAAUACCGCUCUGUCCCCAUCUGAUGCCUAACCCGGACAAGUCAGCCUUGUCGGGGAGAGUGCCUGGCGGGUAGUUUAACUGGGGCGGUUGCCUCCCAAAGAGUAACGGAGGCGCUCAAAGGUCCGCUCGGCCCGGUUGGCAAUCGGGUGUCGAGUGUAAUCGCACAAGCGGGCUUGACUGCGAGAUCGACGGAUCGAGCAGGGACGAAAGUCGGAGAUAGUGAUCCGGUGCCGGCGUACGGACGCGGCAUCGCUCAACGGAUAAAAGGUACCCCGGGGAUAACAGGCUGAUCAUUCCCAAGAGUCCAUAUCGACGGGAUGGUUUGGCACCUCGAUGUCGGCUCGUCGCAUCCUGGGGCUGGAGCAGGUCCCAAGGGUUCGGCUGUUCGCCGAUUAAAGCGGCACGCGAGCUGGGUUCAGAACGUCGUGA